rnacentral:rRNA from 1 species
GAUCAUGGCUCAGGACGAACGCUGGCGGCACGCUUAACACAUGCAAGUCGAACGAGAGAAGAGAAGUCUUGCUUUUCUGAUCUAGUGGCGGACGGGUGAGUAACACGUGAGCAAUCUGCCUUUCAGAGGGGGAUACCGAUUGGAAACGAUCGUUAAUACCGCAUAAUAUAAUUGAACCGCAUGGAUUUGAUUAUCAAAGAUUUAUCGCUGAAAGAUGAGCUCGCGU